rnacentral:rRNA from 1 species
UACGUAAGAUCCAAGCGUUAUCCGGAAUUACUGGGUGUAAAGAGUUGCGUAGGUGGCAUAGUAAGUAGGGAGUGAAAGCGUUCGGCUCAACCGAAUAAACAUUUCUUAAACUGCUAAGCUAGAGAAUGAGAGAGGUCACUGGAAUUCCAAGUGUAGGAGUGAAAUCCGUAGAUAUUUGGAGGAACACCGAUGGCGUAGGCAGGUGACUGGCUCAUUUCUGACACUAAGGCACGAAAGCGUGGGUAGCAAACAGG